rnacentral:rRNA from 1 species
GUGUCAGCAGCCGCGGUAAUACGUAGGGCGCGAGCGUCGUCCGGAAUUAUUGGGCGUAAAGAGCUCGUAGGCGGCUGGUUGCGUCUGCUGUGAAAUCCCGGGGCUUAACCCCGAGCCUGCAGUGGAUACGGGCAGACUAGAGGUAGGUAGGGGAGAAUGGAAUUCCCGGUGUAGCGGUGAAAUGCGCAGAUAUCAGGAGGAACACCGGUGGCGAAGGCGGUUCUCUGGGCCUGUACUGACGCUGAGGAGCGAAAGCGUGGGGAGCGAACAGGAUUAGAUACCCUGGUAGUCCACGCCGUAAACGUUGGGCGCUAGGUGUGGGUCCCCUCCACGGGGUCUGUGCCGCAGCUAACGCAUUAAGCGCCCCGCCUGGGGAGUACGGCCGCAAGGCUAAAACUUAAAUGAAUUGACGG